GGCUCUGGCUGCUUUCCCUCUGCGCGAGGCUCCGUGGUGCAUCCGCGUAGGGGUGCAGCUGAGGACACCGGAGAUCAGUUGAGGGUGCCUACUGCGACCUUGUCACUCUGGCCGCGCGCUCAGUCCUCGGCCAGCUCCUGCCCAGGACCUACAUGCUCCCCUCAUCCUCCCUGCGGCCUCCACAGUGACCGUUCAGUUCCUGGCCGCCGCUGAUUUCGACCUCGCGUCCCUCCAAGGCCCAUUCGUGUGGGAGACCAACCCUGGCAGCCAGACUCGAGCCGGCGGGGAACAGCGCGCCCAAGCUGAGGGAGUGUGGUUUCCUGAUUGUCCUGGCUAAAGCCUGGGAACCUCGCGAUGGGAUCUAGACUGACCAUGACCAUGAGCCACGCUGGAAGAUCCAGGUGAGUCACCGCGCAGUUGAUUGUUCCCAGGCACACCACACACACAGUUUUCAGAAAAACCACUGAGAUUUCUAUUCAACUCACGCAAAAGUGACCCAGAAAGUCAGCGGUGACAGGAAAGACUGGUUUAUUCUAAACCACGUGAGUGCCCAGGGCUGAGAACAACUUGGUGUCUGCCCAGGGCCAGACAACUUGGUGUAUCUCCCAGGUGGGAUCUCUCCCAUGAGUUUCAAAAUGUGAGCCCUAGUUUUAUGGUCGGGGGACACUUGGUGAUAUAUUCUGGGAAAUAUAUUGGUCGCCGGGAUGCCAAGUCAGACAGACAAGUUACAGUAAAUAUUAAAGGACUUAAGCAAGCCCAAGAUCAUUUUGACUCUCUGUCUCCACAAUCACCACCAGGUUCCAGGAAGGUUGCAGCUCGGUCACCUAGGGCAGGUCACCUAGGGCAGUUAGCUGAGGUGAUAAGUUCACACAAACCUGUCUGUUCUUCUCCUUUUGGGCUCCCACUUUCCUCAUCCUCACUCAGCCUGUUGCCCUCCCCUUCUUCAUUUGUCCGCUUGGGGCCAGCAGCUGACAACCCUUAGGAAUUUGACCCUGACUGGGUCCCCCUCCUCCUCCCCCUCCCGCUCCCCCAUUGAAUAAACUCAAAUGGCAAGUGGUCUUGUCAGCGGGAUCAAUAUUCUCAGCCUGGAGGAGACAUACCACGUUUUGGUGAUAGUUUCCCUCGAAUACCCUGCUGCUUUGCAGGCUCUGAGCUAGCCCCUUUCCAGGGCCCUUAGCCAUCCCACUUACCUCAGAGCCACCCUAACAUUGUCCACCUGCCACCAGCCCAGGUUGGGCCAAUCUCAUAUGUAACCAGUUAAGACCGGACAGCUUAGGGCCAGCAAGAUAGGUGAGCAGUGAAAACUACUUCUCAUGCGUGGUGGUUUGAAUGGGAAUGGCUCCACCCACAGGCUCAUACAUUUGAAUGCUUGGUCAUCACAGAGUGGCACUGUUUGAGAGGAAUUAGGAGGUGUGACCUUGUUAGAGACAAUGUGUCACUGGGUUUAGGGUUUCAAAAGCCCAAGCCAGGCCCAGUUUCUCUCUGCUGCCUGCCGAUCUGGAUGUAGAACUCUCACUACCUCUCCAGUGCCAUGUCUGCCUGUGUGUUCUCAUGAUAACAGUAGAUUAAACUAGUAAAACUAAGCAAGCCCCAAUUCAGUGCUUAUUCUUGUAAGACUUUACAUGGUCAUGAUGUCUCUUCACAGCCAUAGGACACCAACUAAGACAUCACAAAAGCCGUACUACCUGAGUUCACACUCUAGAACCCAUGGUGGACAGCAAGAACUAACUCCAGAAAGUUGCACUCUGACCUUAUAUGCACAUGCUAUGUUUGUGCACACACACCAUGCAUGCCCCUACACCACAAUAAAAACUUUUAAAAAGUGAAGGGAAAAUACACCAUGACUCCCUCACUAGAGGUCCCAGAGUCUUCAAUUCCAUUAGAGACAGGAGUGGACCCUUGUCAUGUGCCAAGGGUCAUGUAGAGGGGAAGUAUCUGUCUGGGAAGAUGACAGUUCUGGAGAUAGAUAUGAUUAUAUUUGCACAGUAAUGUGUAUGUAAUUAAAGCCACAUUAUCAGAUACCUGAAAAUGCAAAUAUAUGCUCCGUGGUUUUUACCAUAUACUUGUUUUGUUCUGUUUGUUUUUCAAGACUAGGUUUCUUUGUUUGGCCUUGACUGUUCUGAAACUAACUUUAUAACCUUGGCUGGCCUCAAACUCACGAGAUCCACCUGCUUCUGCCUCCCAAGUGUUGGGAUUAAAGGCGUGCACCACCACUGCCUGUCAUUUUAUCAUCUACUUAAAACUUCUUUGUGUGGAGACCGGGUCGCCAUGCUUGGUGGCAGACAGACAGUGGCAGGGUGGUUCUGUUUCAGCUGAGGGAAGCAGGAUGGCCAAGUGCCCUGGAGAGCAGACAGCCCAGAACCCGCCCCCCAGACUAUUUCACAUCUAUGCUGUGGUUUGUGACAGAAUCUCAUUCUGUGGAAAAGCUGAGUAGUAUUCCACAGUGAACAUGUCAUACCUUGUGCCUUAGUUACUGUUCUAUUGCUGUGAAGAUACAUGACCAAGGCAGCGUACAGAGAAAGCUUGCUUGAGGGUUCGUCUAUUACCGCAGACCCUCUUGAGUCCCUUGUCUGCAUAGAACGGGUCUCUAGUUGUAGAUGGGCAAGGAGUUGGCGAAUGACAGACAGAUGCAACACCAGAGGUUGUGUAGAAUCUGAAUGUAAUGUCAAAUUGAGCAUCAAACUUUAUACAGAAGAAAAUAGGGAAGUUAGGUGACACAUCAGUAAGGUACAAAUGAGGUUACCGGAUGCUUAAUGACUCCUACACAAAACAAAGGAAUGUAAACACAAAGAGUGGCAGGAACUGGGCAAUAAAACAACUGAAAUAAAGUCAGCUUUAAGGUCAGCCAUAGUCUUAGAAGCCAGGUGUGAGGUCUUUACACUCCUAGGGCAAGGGCUUUCACACCCAAGUCAUGGUUCUAAUUAGGGAGUUCUGCUCUAGCUAACCAUCUCAUGAAUAAUGCAAUACUCUAAAACCACAGCCUGAUCUACUUCCUAAACCAUUGUAAAUUCCUGUAUAUGGAAGUGACUUGGCUUUUAUUCUAAGUGAUAGUGUAAUACCAGAGGCAAUUCUGAAUGUCACUGAAUAGGCAACAUUCUUACUGAAUUCCAAGCCCAUUGUCAGCUCAAGGACUUUCUAGGACAUUGGAACACUGGUGAAGGCUUAGCUAUGUCAGAAUUCAAUCUUAAAAGGCACUUAUAAUAAAAUAAUACUAAAAGAGAGCACGUGGAUCCAUACACUAGACUAACAUGGGGAUAGGGUGUGAGUAUACGGGUUAAUGAGAAUGCCAAAGCUCCAGGAGGUGAGUUCCUUUUGAAACUCUAUGCCUCGUGAGUGCUCCCAGGCUUCUCAGCCUGUCAAGCAGACUUCACUGGAGUGUGCAUGGCAGUCCAUUAUCAUCAUGGCAGGAGCAUGGUGGCAGGCAGGCAGGCAGGCAGGCAGGCAUGGCACUGGAGCAGCAGCUGAGAGCUUUACAUCCUGAUGCACAGGCAGCAGGCAACAAGAAAGAGAGAUACUGGGCCUGCUGUGGACCUUUGAACCCUCAAGGCUCAUCCCUAGGGAUAUACUUCCUCCAACAAGGCCAUAUUUACUCCUACUCCGUUAAGGACACUCCCCCCCCCCAAAUCCUUCCAUACAGUUCAUGAAUUGUAGACUAAGCAUACAAAUAUAUGGGAGCCAUUUUCAUUCAGACCUUGCCUACCCAUUCAUUGUUUGGGUUGCUUCCACCUCUUUGCUGUUGUAAACUGCUACUAAUACAGAAGAACUUUUCAAAUCACUGUCGGUUCCCCCACCUCUGUUCACAUUCUCCAUGCAGUGGGAUGGGGAGGGUGUGGCUCUGCAGGUGUCAGGCAGGGAAAUGAACCACAAAGAGGUGGGAAUGAAAGUUCAGACUGACUUUAUCAACCUGGAUAAAACCUUCUAGAGGGUCUUAGAUACUGUUCUAUUGCGUGAAGAGACAUGACCAAGGCAACCCCAUGCUAGGGGCUUAUUGCCAGUAUAUUUAAGAAAUAAUUUCUUAAUUAUAUAUAAUUAUGAUUUGGAAUUAAGUUUCCUGUUGUAAUACAACCCUCAAUGCACAAGGAACCGUAAUUAUAUUGAAAAUCACUCAGGGUAAAUGUCCUUUCUUCCAAGAAGAUGGGUUCUAGAGAUAAGAAACCUGUACUAGCUUAAGGACCUAAGGAAAGAUCUAGCCUUGUCUUGGUCAUACAGAUAGUGUUGCGGUCAUUUGGGCUAUUAGGCAUCUCUGGUCCUGGUUGUGGGAGCUUAAUAUGGCCUGGACCAACAGAUAACAUAGAUCACCACCCAACUGUUAGUCACCACCAGUUACUCGCUUUCUGCAUGGAAGAACAUAUUUUUACAUCUUUCCCUGUGUGCUUGACCUUCCUGGUUUCUCUGGAAAUCUGUGGCCACAGGACCCUUGUAACCAUACCCCAACAUGUCUGCAGUUCCCAUCCUAUUUCUAGAAGUCUCUGUCAUAACUUCAAAGCUUCAAGGUCACCACCUUGUCAACAUCUUUUGCCACACUUCCCCCUGCCCAUUGUAUGCAGCUAAGGUCACCAUCUCUGUGGCAUUUCUCAUACCCCUCUGCCCACCCCACACUACCACAUGGCCUCAUUAGGACACUAAUCCUACCAGGUCAUAUCCUCUGUAUCUUCAGGUUCCGUAACUACUUCUUUCCUUAGAUGCCUUGUUUCCACUGCUAUAACAAAACAUGAAGUUGGGUGCUUUAGGAAGAAAAGAGGUUUGUUUGGCUUACAGUUUUGAAGGCUGAAAAGCAUGGCACUAGUCCCUGGUAAGUCCCCAUGCUGUGUGACAACACAGCAGAGAAGCCAAGAAGAGAACCCACCUUCUGUAUACAGAAGGAUCAAUCACAAGCUAUAUAGGCUCCCUUAAAGCAACAGCUCCCAUGAAGUUUCAUGCUACAGACCAGCAUUUGUCACUUCCUAGUGUGGAAGCCCCAUGCCUAACCUUGCUCUAAACUCUAAAAGUUCUAAUAGCAGGGGCCAGCUCUCAGGUGGGUUCACUGGUCCCAAAGAAUAUGGCCAGAGAAAUCACCGUGCAGACAAGGAGACAGUGGAGAGGGGGUAGAAAGAGUGUAUACACAGAGAAAUGGAGAGAGAGAGAGAACAAAAUGUCUAUAUUAUGUAGAGAGAAUCUCUUGUGUACUGCGUGAAAGCAUCAGGUGAUAAAAGAGCUGAUCAGACAAUUAGCUGGAGAGAGGAGAUAGGGCAGAACUUCUAAUCCCAGUGAAGAGAUCCAAAGGGAGACCAGAACACAGUGGAGGACCACAAGGAGAAGAAGGUUUGGAGAGACCAGGCAGAUUCACUGAGAUGGCUGUGAGAAAGUAGCCAUGAAGACAAACAUGAACCAGGACAAACCAGGGCGAGACACAGAUGCAGGUAAAGGGCCAUUUUGCUGGGCAGUAGCAGCCUAGUUGGGUUAUAAUAGAUUGGAAUCUGCCCAGCUAUAAGUGAUUGCAGCUCUUUCAUUAACCAACCAGAGGUGAUGGAAAGAAAUUUUUAUAUAAUGAAACCAGAGCUUCUUGACUAUGCUGUCAUCUAGACUGUAACCAGCUGUCUGGACAUAGAAAUCAGCAUCUGAAUGCCCAGUGCACAGAACCAUCCUCCGUUAGGAUUGUAUAGGAAAGAACCUCUUAGGAGGGGAAGCCCAGCCUGGGCUGGAAAGGUCUGGGUACAGGUGUCCGCUGUAGCCUUCAACACCUGUGUUCACUUUAAUGAAACAUUCCUUCACAUGUUUGCUGCAGCAAAACACCAUCCAUCAGAUUUUCAAAAGAGCCUUUAAGUUCCCACCUCACCCUUUGCCCCGUUAACCUUCUUUCCCACUACCUCAGGUAGGUGGUGGGCUAGAAGGAAGGUGGGAACAUUGAAGAAACCUUAUUAAAGUAGAUUUUGAGAAAUCUAAUCCAAGAAGGGUGGGAUUGGUCGAAGAAAUAGUUUGGUCCUCAGAAUGUUUGCCAAUAUCUAGGGCAUUCAGGUCUGUUAUGGGGUCUCUGGGGGACUGGUUUUGGGGCCACCUGCUUAGAGAGACUGCCCAUUGUGUGAUGUUUUGGGGGGUAGGGAGAUGAGGGUGUGGUGUCAGAGGUUUACCAUUCUCCACUCAAUCAGGAAGCUGCCCUUUCGAGCUAUUGCCUGUGCCUGUCUGGCUGCGGGAUGUGACGUGUGAGUCUAUGAAGCAUGCAUCUAUGGGACUCCAGGGAGCCCUGAGAAUGGGCCCUUCCUGAGAAACCUGGCAGCCUCCCGCACUCACUGAGGCUUCUACCUCUUUAGGCUGGGAAGGAAUAAGACCACUACCACAAUUUUAAAUCAAAUUUGAAUGAAGCAAGCUGGAUUUUAUUGGGGUGCACUGAAGAGCUGGGUAGCAACUGCCUCCUAAGUUGGGCAAAGAUAACAGUCCCAAAUCCAUUUCCUGGGACCCUUUUAAGGAAUAAAAUCACAAGUAGUUGCAAAGUAGGUUUACAAAAGAGAGAGAUGGAAUAAAGGAAACACAGAAAAAUCUCAAAAAACAAAGACAAAAAACCCAAACAAACAACAAACACCACACCACCACAUGAACAGGGAAGGUCUCAGAUGAUCAUGGUGUUCUCAAAAUCAAGUCAGGGUCGUGGGUUCAGGCAGGUCAGGCUCCAGGAAACAGAUUGAAAAACAGAAACUCAGCUCUCUUAGUAAAUGGAAACGUUUUUUUUUUUUUUUUUUUUUUUUUUUUUUUUUUUUUUAGCAAUACAGCACAAUAGAUCCUGCCUUCAAAAUGGAGUCAGGCAGGUUCCUCAGUUUCUAUCUGCUACUAGUUCAUGAUCAUUGAGUGGUCAGGAGAAAGUGAAGUGGGGCAUAUUAGCGAUGGCCCUGGACCAGUAAUACUUCCAGCCAUCAGCUAAAGUGGGUCCUCAUGACCUUGGAAGCAACAUGGUCAAUCAAGGCCUUGAGUCCAGAAGAGAAGUGUCCUAGGCAAUGAGUAAUGUGCAGAGAAAUCAGACACACCAGGAACAGGGCCCCUCAGGGAGGUAAGGCCACAGUGAACCAAGAGGGUGCUGGCUUUUAAGUGACUGUGUCAAGGGGUUUGUAAAAGAGAAAGUUGAAAAUAUCAAGAAAUGGUGGAGAGAAAACAUCAGAGAUCUACAGAAAAUGGCAUUUAAAGAUGUUUUAUUACUUACGAGCCUGUUCUGACAGUGAGACAGAUCUGUUCCUUGUGGCCCCUCCAUUCUACUUCAAAGCAGAUGAUGAGCGCUGAAGAACUUCCAUGUGGAGUCUCUCUCUUGGUCAGUCAUCUCAAACCCAGAACACUGAGGGUUUUGAAGACCAUCUAUCUAUAACACAUCUACAUAGGCAAAUACUGCUUGUUUCUAACUAUAUAAACCUGUUCAACCUUGGAAUCAUAUUUCUGUAAUAAACUAAACUAGUAUCUAACAUGA